rnacentral:rRNA from 1 species
UACGUAGGGUGCGAGCGUUGUCCGGAAUUAUUGGGCGUAAAGAGCUCGUAGGCGGUUUGUUGCGUCGACUGUGGAAACCUGGGGCUUAACUCUGGGCUUGCAGUCGAUACGGGCAGACUUGAGUUCGGUAGGGGAGACUGGAAUUCCUGGUGUAGCGGUGAAAUGCGCAGAUAUCAGGAGGAACACCGGUGGCGAAGGCGGGUCUCUGGGCCGAUACUGACGCUGAGGAGCGAAAGCGUGGGGAGCGAACAGG